UUKGSKCKSUAGCGGCGAAUGGGUGAGUAACACGUACUUAACGUGCCUUUUAGAUUGGGACAACGAUGAGAAAUUAUCGCUAAUACCGGAUACUUAUAGGGAACGCAUGUUCCUUAUAUAAAAGGAGCCUUUAAAGCUUCACUAAAAGAUCGGGGUGCGGAACAUUAGCUAGUUGGUGAGGUAAUGGCUCACCAAGGCUAUGAUGUUUAACGGGGUUGAGAGACUGAUCCGUCACACUGGGACUGAGAUACGGCCCAGACUCCUACGGGAGGCAGCAGUAGGGAAUUUUCCACAAUGGGCGAAAGCCUGAUGGAGCGACACAGCGUGCAGGAUGAAGGCCUUCGGGUUGUAAACUGCUGUUAUUUAGGAUGAAAAAAUAGUAGAGGAAAUGCUAUUAUCUUGACAGUACUAAAUCAGAAAGCAACGGCUAACUAUGUGCCAGCAGCCGCGGUAAUACAUAGGUUGCAAGCGUUAUCCGGAAUUAUUGGGCGUAAAGCGUCUGUAGGUUGUUUGUUAAGUCUGGCGUCAAAACUUGGGGCUCAACCCCAAAUCGCGUUGGAUACUGGCAAACUAGAAUUGUGUAGAGGUUAACGGAAUUCCUUGUGAAGCGGUGAAAUGCGUAGAUAUAAGGAAGAACAUCAACAUGGCGAAGGCAGUUAACUGGGCACAUAUUGACACUGAGAGACGAAAGCGUGGGGAGCAAACAGGAUUAGAUACCCUGGUAGUCCACGCCGUAAACGAUGAUGAUUAGCUGAUGGGAACCAUCGGCGCAGCUAACGCAUUAAAUCAUCCGCCUGAGUAGUAUGCUCGCAAGAGUGAAACUUAAAGGAAUUGACGGGGAUCCGCACAAGCGGUGGAGCAUGUGGUUUAAUUUGAAGAUACGCGUAGAACCUUACCCACUCUUGACAUCU
rnacentral:rRNA from 1 species